rnacentral:rRNA from 1 species
GGUGAGUAACACGUGGGUAACCUGCCUGUAAGACUGGGAUAACUCCGGGAAACCGGGGCUAAUACCGGAUGCUURAUUGAACCGCAUGGUUCAAUUAUAAAAGGUGGCUUUUAGCUACCACUUACAGAUGGACCCGCGGCGCAUUAGCUAGUUGGUGAGGUAACGGCUCACCAAGGCRACGAUGCGUAGCCGACCUGAGAGGGUGAUCGGCCACACUGGGACUGAGACACGGCCCAGACUCCUACGGGAGGCAGCAGUAGGGAAUCUUCCGCAAUGGACGAAAGUCUGACGGAGCAACGCCGCGUGAGUGAUGAAGGUUUUCGGAUCGUAAAACUCUGUUGUUAGGGAAGAACAAGUACCGUUCGAAUAGGGCGGUACCUUGACGGUACCUAACCAGAAAGCCACGGCUAACUACGUGCCAGCAGCCGCGGUAAUACGUAGGUGGCAAGCGUUGUCCGGAAUUAUUGGGCGUAAAGCGCGCGCAGGCGGUUUCUUAAGUCUGAUGUGAAAGCCCCCGGCUCAACCGGGGAGGGUCAUUGGAAACUGGGGAACUUGAGUGCAGAAGAGGAGAGUGGAAUUCCACGUGUAGCGGUGAAAUGCGUAGAGAUGUGGAGGAACACCAGUGGCGAAGGCGACUCUCUGGUCUGUAACUGACGCUGAGGCGCGAAAGCGUGGGGAGCGAACAGGAUUAGAUACCCUGGWGUCCACGCC